CAAAGAACACCGAGCUGGCCUUGAGGGGACCAAAGGUAGGCAGCCCAGGGUUCAGCUCGUAAAUUGGAAAAGCGCAAAUGUACUCUGGAUGAGAAGGCACUGGCUCAGCCUCCAGGGAACAACGGGGCUGCUAUUCAUAGAAAAGCCUGCUAUUAGCAUCUGCCUGGCAUUUGAGUUAGGCUCACCUAACUGCCUUCCCCACAGAUAUUGCUGAGCUCAGUUGCUGAACACUGAGGGGCUGAGGUUGCACGCGACCGUUCAUGAUCAGCCCUCCACCCACUGUCCUGCUACCUGGAGAGUCACAGAGGUCCUAGUGUGGUCCUGAGCUGAGGGCAGGUGAGAAUCUGAGCCCAUCAUAGUCCAAAGUGGCCAGGGCAGUGGUUCUCCACCUUCCCAGUGCUGAGCCCCUUUAAUACACGUCCUCAUGCUGUGCUGACCCCAGUCAGAAAAUUAUUUUCAUUACUACUUUGUAACUGUAAUUUUGCUACUGUUAUGAAUUGUAAUGUAAAUACGGGUUAUUUGAAAUGUGACCCCUGUGAAAGUGUCAUUUGACCUCUGAAGGGGUCACAACCCACCAGUUGAAAACAGUUGGGCUAGGGAAUUUAAGCCUAUUAAACAAGGAUCCUUGGAGAGAGUGGCCCCAGUGCCUCACCAGAGACCCAGCUCCACUCCAUAGAAUCCUGAUGGUUCAGGUCCAUCUUGGGCCCAGAAAAAGAACUCCAGCUCUUAACCCAAAAGAAUGUGAUCUCAGGAGUCCCCAAGACCUGCGCACACCAGCAUAGCCAAGGUUGAUCUCCUGAAGGCUACUCUUUCCCUGAACUGCCUGCUUCACUAACCGUCACCAACCUGUGAGCCCAGAGUGACCUGUGUACCAUGAUGCUAGAGCCACAGUCUCAUCCAUCACUGUACCCCUCAGCUGCAGUUUGUCUGUGUUUCAUCAAGGAUACACCCAGAUGUAGUCUCUGAUGGAAGUAUUCCAUGCCUGUAUUUUCACAGUCCCACGUGUUAACACACAGCCA
rnacentral:lncRNA from 1 species